UACAGAGGCGCUCCGAAGGAGCGGUAUUGCUAUAGCAUUUGGUUCGUGCUAUUACCUAUUUCUCCUAGCUGAAAGCUGACGGGCUUGUUUCACACAGACUCAAUUGGAAACUGAAUUCAAAACACUUGACUCGGAAAAGGUGGGCUAUAGCCUCUAUCUAUAUCGAGGGAAUUGAAAAUUUUCGAGGGAGAAUGAAGCAGGGGUCUGGUCUUUAGGAUCGCCUCGAUAUAGAGGCGUCCUUUCCCGAGUCAAAAACGAUCCCACUGAUAAAACAAAUAAGGGAGGGGCUUUCUUUAUGUGGUGGACCAAACACAUAAAGCGGCUUCCACCCGCCGGCAAAGAGAUCUCGAUCCCUGG
rnacentral:misc_RNA from 1 species